UUUGUGUUUCACAGUAUGCUCUCAGCAUCUGCACAUCAUGUCCCUUAACAUUCACAGAGGAGGAGGUGCCAUUGAUUCGCCAGUGGUGGUGCAUUAACCUCAUGGAAAGAUUUUGCCUAGAAGGGCAUGGACAGAGGUUUGCAUACUGGACCGAAGAAGCAUCCCAACUCCUUCAGGGGAUCGUUGAGCCUGUGUUUAGGGUGUCGAAAUUCACCACCACCAAACUGUCACCCAGCAGAAGAGUUGUGGAUGACAAGGACAUUGAUAAGGUGCAGCAGCCAACCAUUGUCCGAGACCUAAAUACAGCG